UACAGAGGCCUCAAGCGUUACCCGGAUUUACUGGGCGUAAAGGGUGUGUAGGUGGUUGUGUUAGUCGUCUGUUAAACACCGGGGCUUAACCUCGGGACUGCGGGCGAAACGGCACGACUAGAGGGUGCGAGGGGUGAAUGGAACUCAUGGUGUAGGGGUGAAAUCCGUUGAUAUCAUGGGGAACACCGAAAGCGAAGGCAAUUCACUGGCGCAUUCCUGACACUGAGACACGAAAGCGUGGGUAGCGAAUGGG
rnacentral:misc_RNA from 1 species